rnacentral:rRNA from 1 species
GAAGGAUCAUUAUUGAAUAAAAACUUGAGCAGGCUGUCUGCUGGCCCCUUGGGGUAUGUGCACGCUUGUUCUUUGUUAUUUCUCCAACUUGUGCACAUUUUGUAGACCCUGGAGCCUUGUGGAUUUUAAUAUUCCGAGUCGGGACUGCUGUGCUUCCUCUUUGUGAAGUCGGCUUUGCCUUGCAUCUCCAGGUCUAUGUCAUUUAUUUUCACAACCAUGUUUAGAAUGUUGGGAUCAGGUCUUUUUGUACCUAUAGAAAUGAAAUAUACAACUUUCAGCAACGGAUCUCUUGGCUCUCGCAUCGAUGAAGAACGCAGCGAAAUGCGAUAAGUAAUGUGAAUUGCAGAAUUCAGUGAAUCAUCGAAUCUUUGAACGCAUCUUGCGCUCCUUGGUAUUCCGAGGAGCAUGCCUGUUUGAGUGUCAUUCAACUUCUCAACCACAUUCGUUCAUUUGAUUGUGGCUUGGAUGAUGGGGGUUUUUGUUUGCAGGCUUCUUAAUUAAUCUGAGAGGUCGGCUCCCCUGAAAUGUAUCAGUGGUAUCUGAGGCUAUUGCUAUAGGUGUGAUAAUUAUCUAUGCCCUUGGUUGUGCCGCAUGGAACUGCUUCCAACAAA